rnacentral:rRNA from 1 species
UGCGCAGGUGGGUUGGCAAGUUCGAUGUGAAAGCCCCGGGCUUAACCCGGGAAUGGCAUUGGAUACUGCUGAUCUGGAGGGUCGGAGGGGGGACUGGAAUUCUUGGUGUAGCAGUGAAAUGCGUAGAUAUCAAGAGGAACACCAGUGGCGAAGGCGAGUCCCUGGACGAUACCUGACACUGAGGCACGAAAGCCAAGGAGCAAACA